rnacentral:rRNA from 1 species
GAUGAACGCUGGCGGCGUGCCUAAUACAUGCAAGUCGAGCGAAAAGAUAAGGCGCUUGCUCCUUUGACGUUAGCGGCGGACGGGUGAGUAACACGUGGGUAACCUACCUAUCAGACGGGGAUCACUUCGGGAAACCGGAGCUAAUACCGGAUAACAUCUGGAACCGCAUGGGUCUAUAGUGAAAGAUGGUGUUGCUGUCACUUAUAGAUGGACCCGCGCCGUAUUGGCUGGUUGUUAAGGUAACGGCUUACCAAGGCAACGAUUCGUAGCCGACGUGAGAGGCUGAUAGGCCACACUGGAGCUGAGACGCCGUCCAUACUCCUACGAGACGCCGCAGUCGGGUAUCUUCCGCAGUAGGCGAAAGCAUUGCGGAACAGCGCCGCGUGUGUGAUGGAGGCUCUCGGUGCGUAAAACUCUGCUAUUAGGGAAGAACGAACGUGUAAGUAACUGUGCACGUCUUGACGGUAACUAAUAAGAAAGCAACGGCUAACUACGUG